rnacentral:rRNA from 1 species
GACGAACGCUGGCGGCGUGCCUAAUACAUGCAAGUCGAACGAACUCUGGUAUUGAUUGGUGCUUGCAUCAUGAUUUACAUUUGAGUGAGUGGCGAACUGGUGAGUAACACGUGGGAAACCUGCCCAGAAGCGGGGGAUAACACCUGGAAACAGAUGCUAAUACCGCAUAACAACUUGGACCGCAUGGUCCGAGCUUGAAAGAUGGCUUCGGCUAUCACUUUUGGAUGGUCCCGCGGCGUAUUAGCUAGAUGGUGGGGUAACGGCUCACCAUGGCAAUGAUACGUAGCCGACCUGAGAGGGUAAUCGGCCACAUUGGGACUGAGACACGGCCCAAACUCCUACGGGAGGCAGCAGUAGGGAAUCUUCCACAAUGGACGAAAGUCUGAUGGAGCAACGCCGCGUGAGUGAAGAAGGGUUUCGGCUCGUAAAACUCUGUUGUUAAAGAAGAACAUAUCUGAGAGUAACUGUUCAGGUAUUGACGGUAUUUAACCAGAAAGCCACGGCUAACUACGUGCCAGCAGCCGCGGUAAUACGUAGGUGGCAAGCGUUGUCCGGAUUUAUUGGGCGUAAAGCGAGCGCAGGCGGUUUUUUAAGUCUGAUGUGAAAGCCUUCGGCUCAACCGAAGAAGUGCAUCGGAAACUGGGAAACUUGAGUGCAGAAGAGGACAGUGGAACUCCAUGUGUAGCGGUGAAAUGCGUAGAUAUAUGGAAGAACACCAGUGGCGAAGGCGGCUGUCUGGUCUGUAACUGACGCUGAGGCUCGAAAGUAUGGGUAGCAAACAGGAUUAGAUACCCUGGUAGUCCAUACCGUAAACGAUGAAUGCUAAGUGUUGGAGGGUUUCCGCCCUUCAGUGCUGCAGCUAACGCAUUAAGCAUUCCGCCUGGGGAGUACGGCCGCAAGGCUGAAACUCAAAGGAAUUGACGGGGGCCCGCACAAGCGGUGGAGCAUGUGGUUUAAUUCGAAGCUACGCGAAGAACCUUACCAGGUCUUGACAUACUAUGCAAAUCUAAGAGAUUAGACGUUCCCUUCGGGGACAUGGAUACAGGUGGUGCAUGGUUGUCGUCAGCUCGUGCCGUGAGAUGUUGGGUUAAGUCCCGCAACGAGCGCAACCCUUAUUAUCAGUUGCCAGCAUUAAGUUGGGCACUCUGGUGAGACUGCCGGUGACAAACCGGAGGAAGGUGGGGAUGACGUCAAAUCAUCAUGCCCCUUAUGACCUGGGCUACACACGUGCUACAAUGGAUGGUACAACGAGUUGCAAACUCGCGAGAGUAAGCUAAUCUCUUAAAGCCAUUCUCAGUUCGGAUUGUAGGCUGCAACUCGCCUACAUGAAGUCGGAAUCGCUAGUAAUCGCGGAUCAGCAUGCCGCGGUGAAUACGUUCCCGGGCCUUGUACACACCGCCCGUCACACCAUGAGAGUUUGUAACACCCAAAGUCGGUGGGGUAACCUUUUAGGAACCAGCCGCCUAAGGUGGGACAGAUGAUUAGGGUG